UUCUGUUGGAUUGACAACUACCGAAGA
rnacentral:piRNA from 1 species